rnacentral:rRNA from 1 species
UACGUAGGGACCAAGCGUUGUUCGGAUUUACUGGGCGUAAAGGGCGCGUAGGCGGCCAUUCAAGUGACGGGUGAAAGCCCUCGGCUUAACCGAGGAACUGCCUGUCAGACUGGAUGGCUUGAGACCGGGAGAGGUGAGUGGAAUUCCCAGUGUAGCGGUGAAAUGCGUAGAUAUUGGGAGGAACACCAGUGGCGAAGGCGGCUCACUGGACCGGAACUGACGCUGAGGCGCGAAAGCGUGGGGAGCAAACAGG